rnacentral:rRNA from 1 species
GCGAAAUGCGAUACUUGGUGUGAAUUGCAGAAUCCCGCGAACCAUCAAUUCUUUGAACGCAAGUUGCGCCCGAAGCCAUACGGCCGAGGGCACGCCUGCCUGGGUGUCGUGA